UGUGUGAUAUCAUCAUUUUUUAUCUCGUUUACAAUCUUAACUCCUCGUGUAUUCAAAUACCCUGAAUUUUCUGCACAUAGUUUCAAAGCACAUACUUUUUCUGAUGAUAGAUGAUAAAAACAUUUGCCGCUCAUUGUACAUGUUCCACAUGAAUUUAGCUGCCAUGUAAAUAAUACUGAAUUUUGAUAAAGUGCGAGAUUAUUUACAAAAUUGGGGGUUAAGUUUGCAACGUCUAUUCCCAAUAUAACAGGAUAAAAUGGACGUUGCUGUGUACUAAAUUAUUCUUCUAUGGUUAAAAAAAUAACAUUUGCAAAAGGAUGUUUCAUUGAGCAUAUAAGUAAUGUGUUUGUUUCCUAAAUCACAGAAGUCAAUACCGAGUGGGACACCACGGCGAGAAGGAGAAGACAUUUUUUCAUCCUUUAGCACCACACUUUAGAACCUGACGAUCUUAACGAAAAAGACAAGAAAAGAUACAGGAAAGUUUAGGACUAAUUUAGUACACAGCAACGUCCAUUUAAGAUUGUAAUAUUGGACAAUAGACGUUGCAAACUUCAACCACCUAUUUGUAAAUAAACUUAAACUUCGUCCAAAUUGUGUAUUAUGUACAAGGCAGCUGAAUUCAUGUGAAACAUGUACAUCUAAUUGCAAAAGUUUCUUAUCCAUCUACAUACGAUUUUAUAUGGAUAGAUGCACGUAUGAUAAAGCUAGUUGCUCUAGCGAAGUAUUGCCUUUAUUCUAAUAUGCUACUUUGUUAUGAUUAUAGUUUAAGUUAAGAUAUUUUGAUAGGUUUUGUAGUGUUUAUUUUAAUUGAAAUGCAUUAUGUUUUACAGUAAUUUAUAUUUUCUACAUUUGUAAAGAUAUAACAACAAAAUAAGGCCACUGUAUGUGUUUAUAAGUACUUUGAGGAUAGUACGAUCAUUGUGUGUUAGUUUGUAGCCUAUUAUAUAAAUC
rnacentral:lncRNA from 1 species